UACGUAGGUGGCAAGCGUUGUCCGGAUUUAUUGGGUUUAAAGGGUGCGUAGGCGGUCUUAUAAGUCAGUGCUGAAAUAUCCCGGCUUAAACCGGGAGGGUGGCAUUGAUACUGCAGGACUUGAGUAUAGUCGAGGUAGGCGGAAUUGACGGUGUAGCGGUGAAAUGCUUAGAUAUCGUCAAGAACACCGAUAGUGUAGACAGUUUACUAGGCUAUAACUGACGCUGAGGCACGAAAGUGUGGGGAUCAAACAGG
rnacentral:rRNA from 1 species